rnacentral:rRNA from 1 species
ACGCUUGAAGUCAGUCACGUUGACUUGAAAUCAGCUCUGCUUUUGCUGGGUGUACUUUCUUGUCAAUGGGUCAGCAUCAAUUUUGACCAUCGGAUAAAGUUGUUGGGAAUGUAGCAUCUUUUGGAUGUGUUAUAGCCCGGCGAUGCAUACGGUGGUUGGGAUUGAGGAAUUCAGCACGCCACCAGGCCGGGUUCCGACCACGUUCGUGCUUAGGAUGCUGGCAUAAUGGCUUUAAUUGACCCGUCUUGAAACACGGACCAAGGAGUC